rnacentral:rRNA from 1 species
UUUAUGAAUUAUAUAAGGUUAAACCUGCCCUAUGAUAUUUAAAUGGCCGCAGUACUUUGACUGUGCUAAGGUAGCAUAAUAAAUUGACUUUUAAUUGGGGCCUUGAAUGAAAGGUAAUAUGGGUAAUUACUGUCUUAAUUUUAUUUAUAAAAAUUUUCUUAAAAGGUGAAAAUUCCUUUAAAGUGAUUUAAAAGACGAGAAGACCCUAGGAGUUUUAUAUUAAAUAUAUUUUGUUGGGGCGACACUACAACAUAUAAACUUGUAGUAAUAUUAAAGUAAAUAAAACGAAUAUUUUUAAUUACAUUUGAGCUACCCUAGGGAUAACAGCAUAAUUUAAUUUUAAGUUUGUGACCUCGAUGUUGGACUAGGGACUUUUAGUAUUAACAAUAUUAAAAUUUUGUUCUGUUCGAACAGUUAUUUCCUACA